UACGUAGGGGGCUAGCGUUGUCCGGAUUUAUUGGGCGUAAAGAGCGUGUAGGCGGCCAGGUAGGUCUGGUGUGAAAACUCGAGGCUUAACCUCGAGAUGUCAUCGGAAACCAUCUGGCUAGAGUCCGGAAGAGGAGAGUGGAAUUCCUGGUGUAGCGGUGAAAUGCACAGAUAUCAGGAGGAACACCGGUGGCGAAGGCGCCACUCUGGGCCGGCACUGACGCUGAGGAGCGAAAGCGUGGGUAGCAAACAGG
rnacentral:rRNA from 1 species